AUAAACUCAAAAUCGUGUGUAUUUUAAGAUGUGUUGUGUCGAUUGGUUUAGAAUUAUGUCUAUUGGUUUAAGGUUAUUUAAAUGUCAAUUCCUUGGAUUGAGUAUAUUAAUCUCCAAAUUGUUCUCUCCCCUGCAGAUCAAUUGUGCAUACUCAUAAUCUCAUAUAUUGUUCAUCCAAUAAAUUCAAUGAUCCUAUAUUAUUUGAUCCUAAAGGGCAUGUGAUAAUCUGACCCUAAUUAUAUAUUCUUAUGUUCCCAUUAAAGUCAAUGGGAACAUCUUGCAAUCUCAGCCAUUGGAUGAAGGUGAGAUUAAAUCCUAACCCUUAUAAUUAAGAAAAAGAAGGGGAGGUUACCAAACGGUUGGGUCAACCCUUUUCUCUACCCCACGUCUCGCCAGUUACCAGCAUAUCCCCAUUCCUUUUGAAGCAUAUCUUAUAUUCAAUGUCGAUUUCAAAACAUUCGACCAUUCUUCCAUUGCGAUCUGAUAUGGUAAGCAUUUAGAUUUAAACUAGGUUUCUUAUUAUUAUAAUUUUAAUGCUUGUGUUUGUGAUUGGUUGCAGACCUCGCGACAUGUUGUCUACAUUCUCCUCACCAUAAUCAUUCAUGUUCGCGGAUCACAGGGCCAGAUUCAUUCAUGAUUCUGUUGUUAUAUUUGAAUGGUAUGCUGCAUUGAAGGAGUUCUUAAAGGACCUUCCGCUUUUAUCUUGCUCUGAAACCUAAACCUAACAAGGAAUGAGAAAAACCACAAAGGGAGGCAAACAAACUGUUGGAUUGAGUGCUUUGCUGCAUAUAGAGUUGAAGGGGUACCUAUUUUUCUGAUUCUCAAGAUGUUGCUGCUGCACUGAUGCUUUUCUGCUUACUGAACCUUCAGGGUUUCCUCUUGGGUGCAUAUAUAAGGAGACAUAU
rnacentral:lncRNA from 1 species